GUGAAGUUAAUCACAAACAAACACAUACCCCUUUGUUUGACCGUGAAAAAUUUCUCCCAUCCCCUUUGUUCGUUAUUAUAUAAGUAAAAAACCUGCAGCCGCAGCUGCAGGUUUUUUA
rnacentral:sRNA from 1 species